UGGGGAAUAUUGGACAAUGGGCGAAAGCCUGAUCCAGCCAUGCCGCGUGUGUGAAGAAGGCCUUUUGGUUGUAAAGCACUUUAAGCGAGGAGGAGGCUACUUAGAUUAAUACUCUAGGAUAGUGGAUGUUACUCGCAGAAUAAGCACCGGCUAACUCUGUGCCAGCAGCCGCGGUAAUACAGAGGGUGCGAGCGUUAAUCGGAUUUACUGGGCGUAAAGCGUGCGUAGGCGGCUUUUUAAGUCGGAUGUGAAAUCCCUGAGCUUAACUUAGGAAUUGCAUUCGAUACUGGGAAGCUAGAGUAUGGGAGAGGAUGGUAGAAUUCCAGGUGUAGCGGUGAAAUGCGUAGAGAUCUGGAGGAAUACCGAUGGCGAAGGCAGCCAUCUGGCCUAAUACUGACGCUGAGGUACGAAAGCAUGGGGAGCAAACAGG
rnacentral:rRNA from 1 species